ACGGGUGAGUAACACGUGGGCAACCUGCCUGUAAGACUGGGAUAACUUCGGGAAACCGAAGCUAAUACCGGAUAGGAUCUUCUCCUUCAUGGGAGAUGAUUGAAAGAUGGUUUCGGCUAUCACUUACAGAUGGGCCCGCGGUGCAUUAGCUAGUUGGUGAGGUAACGGCCCACCAAGGCAACGAUGCAUAGCCGACCUGAGAGGGUGAUCGGCCACACUGGGACUGAGACACGGCCCAGACUCCUACGGGAGGCAGCAGUAGGGAAUCUUCCGCAAUGGACGAAAGUCUGACGGAGCAACGCCGCGUGAGUGAUGAAGGCUUUCGGGUCGUAAAACUCUGUUGUUAGGGAAGAACAAGUACAAGAGUAACUGCUUGUACCUUGACGGUACCUAACCAGAAAGCCACGGCUAACUACGUGCCAGCAGCCGCGGUAAUACGUAGGUGGCAAGCGUUAUCCGGAAUUAUUGGGCGUAAAGCGCGCGCAGGCGGUUUCUUAAGUCUGAUGUGAAAGCCCACGGCUCAACCGUGGAGGGUCAUUGGAAACUGGGGAACUUGAGUGCAGAAGAGAAAAGCGGAAUU
rnacentral:rRNA from 1 species